CAGUCGCCACGGUAAUACAGAGGGUGCGAGCGUUAAUCGGAUUUACUGGGCGUAAAGCGUGCGUAGGCGGCUUUUUAAGUCGGAUGUGAAAUCCCUGAGCUUAACUUAGGAAUUGCAUUCGAUACUGGGAAGCUAGAGUAUGGGAGAGGAUGGUAGAAUUCCAGGUGUAGCGGUGAAAUGCGUAGAGAUCUGGAGGAAUACCGAUGGCGAAGGAAGCCAUCUGGCCUAAUACUGACGCUGAGGUACGAAAGCAUGGGGAGCAAACAGGAUUAGAUACCCCAGUAGUCCCUGUCUCUUAUAA
rnacentral:rRNA from 1 species